rnacentral:lncRNA from 1 species
UAAGAUUCACUCUCUUAGUCUUCUCUAGGAUCCGAUCAACCUUGAUCUCCUAAAGGAACUAAACAAACUGUUUAUCAAAGAAUUGUUUACAAGAGAUUUGCUUCUAAAAAGCUAAUAGUAAACUCAAUGAAUUUCAGAUGAAAGAAAGCUUAGAAUAAUUCGAAUAUGUCUUGCGCGUAUGUAUUGCUUCUGGCCGCUUCUUUCAAUCUUCAGCCUCUAUAUAUACUCCAAGGAUUAGGGUUGAGCAAUGCAUGGGAAAUGCUACCGUUGGAGGGCAGUUCUGGAAAAUCCAGCUUCUGCUGUGGCUGAGAACGUUAGGUAGGUCGUCAGGAAGGUACACUUGCUUUUGUACUUGGAUAAUGACUUGACCUUUUAACCUAGGAGACUUCUGAUCAGAGGAAUGCUUCGUAUUGGAACUUGUGAAGCCGGUUGAUCAGAGUCAGAGGGAAAGCACAGAUCCUCUGACCAUUGUUUCUUCUGAUUCUGAACUCAGAGGGAAGAACAUGGCCUUCAGAGUUUCUUGCUUCUGGACUUCAGAGUUUCCACUAUUCAGCUUCUGGAUCUUCAGAGUCUUCUACACCAUCAGAACAUCUGAACCUUCAGUGUUUCUUGGUUAUCAGAACUUCUGGAUCUUCAGAGCUUCUAGUGACUGAGUCCUCAUCAGAGUUUGUAUAACUUCAGAACUUCUGAAGCUUUUCCACUGUUCAUACUGAACAUGGUGAAUGCGAAAGCGUUGCUUGGGUCACUCUUUAUACACAGUGCUUCUGAUUUGUGUGAGAUUGAGUUGAGGUCAGAGCCUGUAAAUAGCACACUCAGAAAAACACGUUAGAGUACCACAAUUGUUCAUAUCAAAAGGUUAACUUGUAAUCAUCAAAACAUAGAGUUGUACUACUAGAUCAAAACUUGAUCUUACAAUCUCCCCCUUUUUGAUGAUGACAAAACUAAGAUUUUUGAUGAACAAUUCUUAAACAUUAAACUGAAUUCACUCAGAGUUUAGAGAUAUAGAAUAAUACUUAUCCUGAUGUGAAUAGUUUAUCUUGCUCAUUCUGCAUUCAAGUCACUGCUUGAUUCUGAGCUUAGCUCCCCCUGAAUCUAAUACUUGAUGAAAACGUUAGUAAAGUCUAGAUUCUGAGCUAAAUAAUAUAAGAGUUCAGAGUGAAAAACUUAUGACAUAGAUGAAAAUCGAGUAAACAGAGCGCAUAAGUAAUCAGAGUCAUGGAUAAGGUAUCAGAGUCUUGGGUAUCAGAGUCAACUUAUAAUCACUUCAGAAGAAGUGAAAUGUAUUCCUUGUAUUUGCCCAGUGACAUAUCUAUGGUCAUGAAGGUGGAACUCUUAAAUUCUCCAAAAGAAAAAUAAAUCACACUAACACAUCUUACACAUCAAAAACUGGGUUUACUCCCCCUUUUUGUCAUAAGCAAAAAGCUUGGGGUGUGAAAAACUUAGCUUGAAGUACAAGGUACUCCCCCUUAGAGAAGGUCUAAGUUUAAAGAAAAUGAAAACGAUGCAAGAAUCAGAGUUAGGCGAAAUAAAUAGAAGAGUUAAUGCAAGAGAAGAACGUUUACCACCGGUCAAGUGAGUAAAGAGAAGGGUCAGUUACCAAGAACUUAACCUCGAGAAACCGUAGGAGCAUUAACUUUCAGAGAGAAAGUGAAGCCUAUAUAAAGCGUUGGAGAGAAAGGUAAGCUUCACACCUCGAACAAUUUUCAGUUAAAACAAAUGGCAUCAUACAACGUAGCACUAGAAGAGCUGAGGAAGAAAGCCUUUGAAGAGGACUUGUUCCUGAACAUCAGGCAUCCAGAGGGUACAACGACCAUCUCGGAGCUAACACGGACACUGCUGGAAGAGGACCUGCGUCCAGAGUUGGAGAGAGACCUGAAGGAAUUUCUUGCCUUCGUGGAGGAGGUGCAAGAACUCAGCCGGCUUGAACUCAAGCUGCUGGAAGAAAAAGAGAUCUUGGAAGAGAAGCUCAAGACUUCAGAAGAGAGUCUGGAGAGGGAUGAGCUAAAGGUCAGCCUUAACAACAUCCAGCAUGGACUAGAGCGUCUGGAGAAAGAUAGGUCAGAGCAGCGCCAGGAGUGCAGAAGAAUGAGGAGGGAUCCUCCAUUCUAGAUAUUAUGAUGUAAAGAAAUAUGAUGUAAACAUAGAAAUAUGAUGAAUAAAAAAGAUUUUUGCAAACAUAUGUGAUACAAAUAUAUAUAUAGAUAUGCAUAUAGAAUCACAAACGAAUAAAAUAGAAUAAGUAAAAUAAAAAGAAACAGAGUUUAAAUAAAACAACGUUAAAUAAAAAGAAAGAAAAAGAAGAGAUCCUAAAACUAAGGUUUGUCAGAUCGUCGCAGAAGUUCCAUCAUCAUUUGCUUCAUCUCAAUCAGCAUGGAUUCAUGAAUGUCAAGACGCUGUUCCAUGAUGUCGAGUCUGGAUGAGCUUGUCUGAGUAGAGCUGGAAGGAACAUUCUGAGCAGCUUGAGGAUCUGGAAUGGAAGCAGAAGCAGCAGGAGUAAACACAACUGGUGCAAGUGCUUGGCGUCUAAGAGCUUCAGCCUCAGCUUCAAGUCGCUCUGCCUCAAGUCUGGCUUGUUCAGCUUGAGCUGCUGCUAGACGUGCAGCUUCUUCUGCUUGAGCCUUCUUUCUCUUGGCUUCUUCAAUGGCUUCAAGAAGCUUAUUUCUCUGUUCUAGUUCAUGAAGAGCCACCCUUCGAGCAAACCUUUGCUUUGCAGCCCCAAUGCUCUGACUUCCCUCUGCAUGCAGGAGCUGCAUCAUAAUUGGAACUUGAGCCACUAGCCAAGUGCUCAGAUUGUUCCACUCAUCAGCCACACUUUCAGCAUUCUCACUGAGGUCAGUCUGACCGUGCACAUUGCGGAGCCUCAAAGAGGCUUCAUGAUAGAAAAUAUUGAUGCACUCAGAGAGAGAUGUGGGUUGGAGAUGAGUAUAGGGAAUUAUGGAGAGGGUGGUUUCAGGAGAGGCUGGGUGAUUGCUGCUAUGAGCUUCAGAGGCACCUUGUGGAGAACCAAUGUUAAUCAUUUGAUCAUUGGGGUCAGAGGUUCCAAGGUGAGGGUCUGAAAUUUCAACCAGAGGAUGAGGUGAUCUAACUGAGGAUUGGUUAGACACUGAAUGUUCGGUUUCAGGUUCUGGUUGAAUAGGCUCUUGUUGGUCAGGGACAGGGUGAGCUGGUUGAGCCAAAGGGUCUGCCUCUUGUAAAGGAUUAGCCAAGAUAGGUUCAUCUGGGUCUACUAGACGUUCAGGUCUAGGGCCAGGAUAUCUCCUAGGGCUUGGACAGGUAAGGUAAUAUUCCUCUAAGGUAGACACCUUUUCUUUUCUAACCUCCAUGAAUUUUCUAAUGGAUUCAGAGUUAUUGGAGGGAGAAGAAUCAGCAACAUUGGUUGGGAAGGAUACAGGUGUAAAGGCUGUUGAAGAGUCUGUAUCCGUGGUUAUGGCAGCAGGACGUUCUGAUGCUCUGGGAACAGAGUGAUCAGACGUUCUGGGUUGUGGUUCUGUUUGGUUUGGCUCUGGUUGUUCAUGGAUGAUUGGUUCAGAAAGUAAUGGGUCAUACGGAAUGGUGAGGAGAGAGGUUGGUUCUUCUGACCUAGAGGGUUGAUUCUGAAGCAAAUUCCAGAGAGGUGCUUCAGUAGGGGAAGGUUGAAAGAAGGAAGAUCUUGGGGAAUGUGGUGGAGUGGUGGUGUGUGCGGCUGGCUGGGAUUCAGGAAUAGGAGUGAGGGGAUUUGAGGAGUGUUUGAGCAUAGCAGAAAUAGGGAGUGCAUCAAAUAAAUUCAAAUCAUCAUCAGAAGCAAGUGCAGGCUUACUUGAAUGUACUGAUGAUCGAGUCACUCUGGCAGGAGGUUCAGUCCUUCUGACCACUUCAGCAGCUGGUUCCACCCGAGUAGGCUUCACUACGAUUCUGACUUUCUUCUGCUUCUUCUUAGGAGGACCAUCCUCACUAUCACUAUUAUCACCAUCAUCAGGCUUUCUCUUCGUCUUCUUGACCAGAGGGACAUCAGAUUCCUCAGAGGAUUCUUCCAGAACCAUCUUCCUCUGAACUUUCUUCUUGGGAGGAGAAGGAAACUCUGGAGCUGGUGGCAGUCUGCUGACGAAAUCAUCAAGGUCAAUUUCGAAUCCUUGAGCCCUGAGGUCUUCAACAUAGCAUCUGAUGGCGUCAGGAUUGUCUGCCUGAGUCCACAGAGGGUAGUCAUUCAGAGGCAUCCUUCUUCCUCUGAUCUCAGAAGAUGUGUCUUCAUGAGCAGGAGCAAUCUUCUUCUGGACCAAACCCAUCUUCUUCAGAGAGUUUGCAGUGAAGACAUCACUGACAAUUGUGCUAAGAUCCUCUACACAUCCAGCAUUAACCAGAUCUUGCACCAGGUUGCUUUCAAUGAGAAAGUCUGAGAGCAGCCUCCCAAAAGGGAUAUAUUUGAUUGCAGACUUGAUGGAGGCGGUGGUGCGAGACUUCCGGAUGCAUUCCUUCAAGUAGGAGAACAGGAAGUAGGGAAGGCAGAUCUUCUUCUGAUCUUGGAUGAAGAACAACAUCACCUUCUGGUUGAAGUUGAUGUAGUCUGGAGAACUGCCCUUCGAUCUCUGGUUUAUGCAGUGAAGCAGGAUCUUGUGCCAGAUCCUGAGUUUGGGGUGAAGAUCCAUCACCUUGUAACUCGUCUUGCCCGGUUUGAAAGUGGUGUACAGGGCCUGGUUGAUUGUGUCCUUGGUGCUGGGUUUCAGCUUCUAUUCCGUGAGUUGGAAACGAAACCCAUAAGCAGUGUCUGCACCUAGCAGAUUCACGAAUGACUUCUCAGUGAUGAUGAUCUUUCUUCCAAGAAUGUGAGAGACCACCUGAGUAUCAUCGCAGUCGACGUGCUUCCAGAAUUCCUUUACCAGUUUCUCAUACACCGGUCCUCGAAGUUGGUUGAAGUAAUUUCCCCAACCUUGAGCUUGGACUUCAGGACGAAGAUCAAACCCAUUUGUAGCCAGGUUGUCGAGGUCGAAUCUCCAUUCUGCCAGGACUUGAAGUUCCUCAGGAGCAAAUACGCAGUGAACGGCACAGCCCCGUUCUGCAAUUUGAACAAUCUGCUCUUGAGCUUGAACUUGUUCUUGUGCCGGGUUCUCAGAGCCCCUUUGACCCGUUGCUAGACCAACUACCAUGUGAGGGAACUGAGGUGCAUCUGCAGUAGAUCUUCUGGUUUGUCUCACCAUUUUGAAGUGGUUGAAGGUUUGAGGUAGAAGAUGAAGGUUGGAAGAUGAAGAAAGAUCGAGAGAGAAAUCGAGAAGAGCGGUUUUGAAAAAACAGAGAGAUCGAGAGUAAAAACCGGAAGUGAAAGAGAACGUGUGUGUAUAGUGGGUUUUAUCAAAUACCCGUUGUUGAUUCAAAAAGCACUUUUAAGAUCAACGGUUGAAAAUUAAAGAUAGAUAGUAACAGUAAAAUACACAAUCACACACAGGAGAGAAGCACAUCUACACGCAAUCAUAACAGACUGUCACACGGGCACAAGGAACUAUGCAUCAGAAAUUCUGACACACGUGUUGUUGUCUCAGCUUCAGAGUCAGUACCAGUGGGUACACACACUCUGAUUGAGUUACCUUCUGGACUAGACAUCUUCUGAUCAAGAAGUAUCAUAGUCAGAGGUUCUGAUCCAUCUUCACUCUGGACAAAAGUCCAUGUUUAGAUUUUUCAGAAUAAAAUUAAAUCUAUCUUCAGCUAAGGGCUUUGUAAAGAUAUCUGCCCAUUGAUGGUCAGUAUCAACAAACUUCAGAAGAAGUACGCCCUUCUGUACAUAAUCUCUAAUAAAGUGAUACUUUACCUCAAUGUGCUUUGCCCUUGAAUGCAAGAUAGGAUUCUUACUCAAUGAGAUUGCAGCAGUGUUAUCACAAUAGAUUGGGAUAUUGCUCUCAAGGAUCUGAUAAUCCUCCAGCUGAUGUUUCAUCCAGAGCAUCUGAGUGCUGCAUAUUGCUGCUGAGAUAUAUUCUGCCUCUGCAGUUGAUAGUGCAAUGGUUGAUUGCCUCUUGCUUGCCCAUGAGACUAGAUUGCUUCCCAGAAAUUGACAAUUUCCUGAAGUACUUUUUCUCUCUGUUCUAUCUCCAGCAUAAUCAGCAUCACAAUAACCUGAAAGCUUAUACUCUGAUGUUUCCUUAUACAUCAAGCCAAGGUUAGUGGUGCCUUUCAGAUACCUUAGGAUCCUCUUAACAGCAGUUAAGUGGGUUUUCCUUGGAUCUGAUUGGAAACGAGCACAUAAGUGAACACUAAAUAAUAUGUCUGGCCUAGAUGCAGUUAAGUAUAGAAGUGAACUUAUCAUGCCACGAUAGAGCUUCUGACAUACUUUACCACUUUUAUCUUCUUUCUCCAGAAUGCAUGUAGGAUGCAUUGGAGUCUUGGCCACUGUGGAUUCCAGCAUAUUGAACUUCUUCAGAAGUUCUUUAGUGUACUUGCUCUGAUGGAUAUAUGUUCCUUCUGGUGUUUGAUCAACUUGUAUUCCCAGAAAGUACUUUAAUUCUCCCAUCAUACUCAUCUCAAAUUCAGCCUGCAUCAUCUCAGAAAAUUCUUUGCAUAGAGAUUGAUUAGCAGAACCAAAUAUAAUAUCAUCAACAUAAAUUUGCACAAUUAAGAUAUCAUCUUUAUAAGUCUUGCAAAACAGAGUUGUAUCUACUUUACCCCUUACAAACUCAUUCUCCAGAAGGAAUGAGCUAAGUCUCUCAUACCAUGCUCUGGGAGCUUGCUUCAGACCGUAGAGUGAUUUCUUCAAUUUGAACACAUGGUCUGGUUUCUUCUCAUCUUCAAAACCUGGGGGUUGAUGAACAUAGACUUCCUCUGAGAUAUAACCAUUUAGGAAGGCACUCUUUACGUCCAUCUGAUGUAGAACUAUGUUGUGAUUUACUGAGAAAGAGAUCAACAGUCUGAUUGCCUCCAGUCUUGCUACUGGAGCAAAUGUUUCAGUGUAGUCUAUUCCUUCCUGCUGGCUGUAACCUUGAGCAACUAGCCUUGCCUUGUUUCUGACUACAUCUCCUUUCUCAUUCAGCUUGUUUCUGAAUACCCAUUUCGUUCCAAUAACAUGGACACUCUCAGGCUUCUUCACUAAGCUCCAAACAUCGUUCUUGGAAAAUUGAUUCAAUUCUUCUUCCAUGGCCAGAAUCCAAUCCUUGUCCUGAAGAGCUUCAUCUAUGGACUUGGGUUCAAUUAAGGACACCAAUCCUUUCAGACUCAGCAAGGUCUCUUCAGAGGGUCUGAAGGCAGAUCUGGUUCUGACUGGUUCGUCUUUGUUACCCAGAAUCAAUUCCUUAGGGUGAGCUGCAGUGAUUCUGCUCUUCUUCAGAGUUUGUGAGUUAGAGGGACCAGCUUCUUCCUCUGGUUCAUCUUCCUCUGGCUCAGCUUCCUCUGGAGCUUUGCCUUUGUCAGAAACAUUAAUGCUUAAAUCUGCAAACUUUUCAACUAGCUUUGACUGGUCAGAGUCAAGCUUAUCAUCAAAUCUAACAUGAAUAGAUUCUUCAAUAGUCUUAGCAUCAGUAUUAUAAAAUCUAAAACCUUUAGAUCUAUCAGAAUAACCAAGUAAUAGACACUUAGAAGACUUAGCAUCAAAUUUAUGCAAUCUAUCCUUAGUAUUGAGAACAUAACAAACACAGCCAAAAGGAUGAAAAUAAGAAAUGUUAGGUUUUAUGUUCUUCCACAAUUCAUAAGGAGUCUUAUUCAGAAUUGGUCUCACAGAGAUUCUGUUCUGAAUGUAACAUGCUGUAUUUACUGCCUCUGCCCAAAAGUGCUUAGCCAUGCCAGUUUCUUGGAGCAUGGUUCUAGCCAUCUCCUGAAGAGUUCUGUUCUUCCUCUCAACAACACCAUUUUGUUGAGGAGUUCUGGGACAAGAGAAAUCAUGUGCAAUUCCAUAGGAAUCAAACAGACUCUCAAACUUAUCAUUCUCAAACUCUCCACCAUGGUCACUUCUGACACGCACAAUCCUACAAGCCUUCUCGUUUUGCACUUGAGCAAUGAAGGUAGAGAACACAGCAUGAGACUCAUCCUUGCGGGUUAGAAACUUUACCCAUGUCCAGCGGCUAUAGUCAUCAACGAUAACCAUCCCAUAUCUCUUGCCACCUAUAGACUCAGUUUUUACUGGUCCAAAAAGGUCGAUAUGCAGAAGUUCCAACGGCCUUGAGGUUGAGACAACAUUCUUUGCCUUGAAAGGGACUUUUGUGAAUUUGCCUUUCUGACAUGCUUCACAAAGAGCGUCUGAAGCGAACUUCAGAUUGGGUAAGCCCCUGACAAGGUUUAGCUUGCUCAGCUGAGAAAUCUUUCUCAUACUGGCAUGCCCUAACCGUCUAUGCCAUACCCACUGCUCUUCAUUAACAGACAGAAGGCACUUCACAUUCUGAGCCUCCAACUCAGAUAAUCUGAUCUUAUAGAUGUUGUUCUUCCUCUUGCUGUUAAAUAGAACAGAGCCAUCGAUCUGACUUACAGCCCGGCAGGACUUUUGAUUGAAUAUAACAUCAUAACCCUUGUCAGCUAAUUGACUUAUAGACAAUAAGUUAUGUGUUAAGCCGUCUACCAAUAACACAUUAUCAAUGCAUGGACUACUAUCUACACAAAUAGUACCAGUACCAACAAUUUUACCCUUUUCAUUUCCUCCAAAGCCAACUUCGCCUCCAGGCUUAAGUUUUAGCUCUCGGAACAUACGCCUUUCUCCCGUCAUGUGACGCGAGCAUCCACUGUCCAGAUACCAUGAUUGGUGUUUCAGUGGAGCUAUCAAGGAUAUCUGCAACAUAGAUAAUCUUGUCCUUAGGUACCCACUUUCUGGGUCCUCUCUUGUUAGUUACCCCAGAGGUUCUGAUCACCUUGGGUGUCUCAACAUGAUAUUUUAAAGGAAUAUUUGCAUGAUAUCUAGUCAUAGAGAAAGAUCCCUUUUUAAGAGGGUGUUUAGCAACUUUAGCAGGUAAAGGAUCAGGCAAUAUGGUACCAGAGGGAACAAAGCAUUCAUACAAGGAUUUAGCUUUAGACAUAGAAGGCUCAUUUCUAAUUGGUUUAGAAUAGCCAAUGCCAUGCAUUCCAUUUCUGCUUACGCCAUAGAUCAUUGAAGCCAUUAAGCUUCUAUCCACGCUUUUAGCUAGGAAUCUUUGAAAAGACUUUUCAUACUUAGAUUCAUUUCUACAAUCAGAGGCAUCACAGGCAACAAUUUCUUCUAACUUAGCAAUCUGGUUCUUAAGCACAGAGUUAGAAUUGAUCAAAGCAUGAUUAUCAUUUUUCAGAUCAGAAAUAAUUUUCUCAUGUUCAGAAGGAGUCUUGGAAACAGCAGAUAAGUUCUUUUUCAACUUUUUAUGCUUAGACAAUAAGGAGUUAUACUUAUCCAUAAUAUCAGACAAAGCAUGUUUCAGUUCAGAGGUAGAGAAGGAAGCGAAUACCUCGUUUUCAUCGUCUGAGUUAGGAUCUCCUUCUGAUUCUGAGUCAGAGUCAACAGCUUCCUUUGACUCUGCUUCCUUGUCUUUGACAAUUGCCAUGAGUCCUUGGACUUCAUCAUCAGAGUCAACAUCCUCUGACUCUGAUUCAUCAAAUGUCACCAUCAGACUCUUCUUCGUCUUGAAGUGCUUCUUUGGCUUCUUGUCUUUCUUCAACUUUGGACAAUCACUUUUGUAGUGCCCAGAUUCUUUGCACUCAAAACAUGUGACUUCCUUGAUUGAAGACUUCUUCUGGCCUGAGGACUCAUACUUUCCUUUUGCCUUUCCAGAGCCUUUGAACUUGCUCUGCCUGUGCUUCCAGAUGCGGUUGAGUCUCUUGGAGAUCAGAGUCAGCUCAUCUUCAUCAGAAUCUUCUGAUGCUUCUUCAGAUUCCUCUUCUUCAGCUUGAAGAGCCUUUGACUUCUCAACCUUAGCCUUUUCAGAUUUGGAUUUCAAGGCUAUGGACUUUUUCCUCAGAUCUUGCAUCUCAGAGCGCUUCAGCUCAUGGCAUUUCAAAAUGCUGAUGAGUUCUUCUAAACUCAUAUUCUCAACGUCUCUCGUGAGCUCUAUUGAAGUCACCAAAGGCAUCCAACUUUCAGGAAGACACCUAAUGACCCUUAUGACAUGAUCUUUUGUUGUGUAGCUCUUGUUGAGAGGUCGCAUGCCAGCUACAAGCAACUGAAAUCUGGAGAACAUUUCUUCAAUGGACUCAUUUGGCUCCAUGAUGAAGGAUUCAUACUUUUGGAUCAAAGACAAUGCCUUUGAUUCUUUGACUUUCUUGUUUCCUUCAUGAGACAUCUUCAGAGAUUCAAAAAUGCCUUUAGCAAACUCACGAUCUGUAAUCUUCUGGUACUCUUCAUAGGAAAUAGCACUUAGAAGAAUUGCUCUUGCUUUGUGAUGUUGUGAGUACAGCUUCUUUUGAUCUGCAGUCAUCUCUGACCUUGGGAUCUUCUUGCCAUCUGCAUCAACUGGACGCUCGUAGCCAUCCACAAUAAUAUCCCAGAGAUCUGCAUCGAAACCCAGAAAGAAACUUUCCAGUCUAUCUUUCCAAUAUUCGAACCUUUGACCGUCGAACAUAGGAGGCUUUGCAUUGUAACCAUCUCUUUGAGUUUCACUGGUGGUGGCAGCCAUUGUUUUUCACACCGGCCCGGAUCACUGAACACUGUUAGGUGUGGUAAUCAGAACUUGCGCUCUGAUACCAAUUGAAGGUAUGAAAAACGGUAGAAAGGGGGGGUUUGAAUAACGUUUUCAGUACAAAACUUUCACCUUAAAGAUUUUGACGAAUCUUUCGAGAACUUAAGUGCAAAAGAUAAGAGAUAGAAAAGCACACAAGGAUUUUAUCCUGGUUCACUUGAUAAAUCACUCAAGCUACUCCAGUCCACCCGUUAAGGUGAUUUCUUCCUUCUUAGAAUGAAGGCAAUCCACUAAUCAGGUAAGAGUUACAACUGCACUUGAAACCUACAAGUGACUAACAAUUACACUGACUUAGCUCACACUAAGAUUCACUCUCUUAGUCUUCUCUAGGAUCCGAUCAACCUUGAUCUCCUAAAGGAACUAAACAAACUGUUUAUCAAAGAAUUGUUUACAAGAGAUUUGCUUCUAAAAAGCUAAUAGUAAACUCAAUGAAUUUCAGAUGAAAGAAAGCUUAGAAUAAUUCGAAUAUGUCUUGCGCGUAUGUAUUGCUUCUGGCCGCUUCUUUCAAUCUUCAGCCUCUAUAUAUACUCCAAGGAUUAGGGUUGAGCAAUGCAUGGGAAAUGCUACCGUUGGAGGGCAGUUCUGGAAAAUCCAGCUUCUGCUGUGGCUGAGAACGUUAGGUAGGUCGUCAGGAAGGUACACUUGCUUUUGUACUUGGAUAGUGACUUGACCUUUUAACCUAGGAGACUUCUGAUCAGAGGAAUGCUUCGUAUUGGAACUUGUGAAGCCGGUUGAUCAGAGUCAGAGGGAAAGCACAGAUCCUCUGACCAUUGUUUCUUCUGAUUCUGAACUCAGAGGGAAGAACAUGGCCUUCAGAGUUUCUUGCUUCUGGACUUCAGAGUUUCCACUAUUCAGCUUCUGGAUCUUCAGAGUCUU